rnacentral:lncRNA from 10 species
CCACUAGAGGCCUCCUGCAUGCCUUGGCUCGUGGCCCCUUCUUCCAUCUUCAAAGCCAGCAUUGCCUGCUGCAAGUCCAGCUUAAAGGAAGGAAAGUUCUAAUAAAUUGAAAAUGUUAACUCUGUGGACUAGACAUCUUCACGUGCUUCGUGUUCAACAUGUUAUAACUUCACCAUAAUACAAAUUACCAUCAUGAGUUUAUUUUUGUAUAUGGUGUAAGGAAGAGGUCCAGUUACAGUCUUCUGCAUAUGGCUAGUCAGUUAUCCCAGUACCAUUUAUUGAAUAGGGAAUCCUUUCCCCAUUGCUUAUUUUUGUCAACUUUGUCGAAGAUCAGAUGGUUAUUGGUGUGUGGCAUUAUUUCUGGGCCCUCUGUUCUGUUCCAUUGGUCUUUGUGUCUGUUUUUGUAUCAGUAGUGCCAUGCUGUUUUGGUUACUGUAGCCUUGUAGUAUAGUUUGAAGUUGGGUAACUUGAUGGUUAGAAUGUUCUAUUUGCUUAGGAUUGCCUUGACUAUUCAGGCUCUUUUUUGGUUCUAUAUGAAUUUAAAAAUAGUGUUUUUUAAUUCCUAUGGUGGGAAGAAAGUGUGGAUAAAAAACUGCCUAUCAGAUGCUAUGUUUAUCACCUGGGUGACAGAAUAAUCUAUACACCAAAACCAUGUGAGAUGCAAUUUACCUGUAUGACAAACCUGCACAUGUACCACUGACC